GGGGUGGGGGUGGGGGAGCAAAUGUCUUGUGGGGCAAAUGUCCUACAACCGUACAAGUCAUAGCUGGCUCGUGCAUGGUUGAUCAGUUUAAGACGCAUACCUUAUUUGGAAACAGGACAAUAGCGGAAUAUUAUUCCUGCAGAUAUACAAUAACUGGUCAAUUUUGUUUAAUGAUAAAAUCUAUAAGACUAUAAGGAUUCUUUGGUAUGCAAGUAGUUAUAAUAAUAGCAAUAUUUCCGUGAGAUUAUUGUGGAUAUGAACUGUCUAGGAUAUUAAAUGAAGUACAUGUAUCUAAAUGGACAAAUAUU